rnacentral:rRNA from 1 species
AUUGAACGCUGGCGGCAGGCCUAACACAUGCAAGUCGAGCGGAUGACGGGAGCUUGCUCCUUGAUUCAGCGGCGGACGGAUGAGUAAUGCCUAGGAAUCUGCCUGGUAGUGGGGGACAACGUUUCGAAAGGAACGCUAAUACCGCAUACGUCCUACGGGAGAAAGCAGGGGACCUUCGGGCCUUGCGCUAUCGGAUGAGCCUUGGUCGGAUUAGCUAGUUGGUGGGGUAAUGGCUCACCAAGGCGACGAUCCGUAACUGGUCUGAGAGGAUGAUCAGUCACACUGGAACUGAGACACGGUCCAGACUCCUACGGGAGGCAGCAGUGGGGAAUAUUGGACAAUGGGCGAAAGCCUGAUCCAGCCAUGCCGCGUGUGUGAAGAAGGUCUUCGGAUUGUAAAGCACUUUAAGUUGGGAGGAAGGGCAGUAAGUUAAUACCUUGCUGUUUUGACGUUACCGACAGAAUAAGCACCGGCUAACUCUGUGCCAGCCGCCGCGGUAACAC